rnacentral:misc_RNA from 1 species
AGCGCGCGCUUGAUAAGCGUGAGGUCGGAGGUUCAAGUCCUCCCAGGCCCACCAGUUUAUCCAUUACUUUCAUAAGUGCUUUUAAAAAAUAAGUACUUCUAAAAAGAUUGCUUCUAAAAAGCUUAUCAAAAUUGGCAGGCUUAUUGCUUUUGUGUGAGUAAUCCAAAGUUAAAGCAAAUUAAUGGCAAAAAAACAGUUCAAAUGCUAAAUACUAAGGAGUCAAAAUUCCUUGCAAAGUGAUUUUUACAGCGUCCAUUUGGUUGAUAUAAAUUCCAAAUGCUCAUAGACGUCAAUGCCUAUAUGAAACUAUCGGUUCAAUCAUAUCGCUUUGAGUUAUAUAGAUUUUGUAAUCCCUCUUUUGAUCGUUUUAAACGCUUUAUUCUGAUUUAGGGGCCGUAGCUCAGCUGGG